rnacentral:rRNA from 1 species
UCACAAACAUCUCUUCUUGUAUAUAUAAGAAGUAAGCCCUGCCCGAUGCCUGCGGGUAAAUGGCGAUCUAUCUUAAAGUAGCAUAGUAAAUUGCCCUUUAAUUAAGGUCUUGAAUGAAUGGGUUGACGAUAAAGAGGCUGUCUUGUGAGGACAAAUUUUAAAUUUUCUUUUUGGUGAAAAGACCUGAGUUAAAUUAAAAGACGAGAAGACCCCGUCGAGCUUACUUAAUUAUUGUUUUUUAACGGUAAAAUUUUUGUUGGGGCAACAAUGGAGAAUAACCUCCGUUUUAUUUUAUGUGGAUCCAUUUUUUAUGACUACAAUAAAAAGUUACCGCGGGGAUAACAGCGCAAGAUUACUUUAGAGAUCUUAUUGAAGGUAAAAAUUGUGACCUCGAUGUUGGAUUAGGGUAGCUUUUUGGUGUAGCAGCUGAGAAAGCGGGACUGUUCGUCCGUAAUGCCAUU